rnacentral:lncRNA from 1 species
GUUAUGUUUGGAGGAAAAAGGGGGACGCUUGCAAGCUGAAGAACACCAUCCCAACCGUGAAGCACAGGGGUGGCAGCGUCAUGUUGUGGGGGUGCUUUGCUGCAGGAGGGACUGGUGCACUUCACAAAAUAGAUGGCAUCAUGAGGUAGGGCAAUUAUGUCGAUAUAUUGAAGCAACAUCUCAAGACAUCAGUCAGAAAGUUAAAGCUUGGUUGCAAAUGGGUCUUCCAAAUGGACAAUAAUGGGGUCAUUUUGCCAAAGUUGUGGCAAAAUGGCUUAAGGGCAACAAAGUUAAGGUAUUGGAGUGGCUAUCACAAAGCCCUGACCUCAAUCCUAUAGAAAAUGUGUGGGCAGAACUGAAAAAGCGUGUGUGAGCAAGGAGGCCUACCAACCUGACUCAGUUACGCCAGCUCUGUCAGGAGGAAUGGGCCAAAAUUCACCCAACUUAUUGUGGGAAGAUUGUGGAAGGCUACCUGGAACAUUGACCCAAGUUAAACAAUUUAAAGGCAAUGCUACCAAAUACUUACUGAGUGUAUGUAAACUUCUGACCCACUGGGAAUGUGAUGAAAGAAAUAAAAGCUGAAAUCAAUCAUUCACUCUACUAUUAUUCUGACAUUUCACAUUCUUAAAAUAAAGUGGUGAUCCUAACUGACCUAAGACAGGGAAUGUUUACUAGGAUUAAAUGUCAGGAAUUGUGAAACUGAGUUUAAAUGUAUUUGGCUAAGGUGUAUGUAAACUUCCCACUUCAACUGUAUAUCCUGUUUUUUAUCAAAUGUUUUCAUCAAGUGGUAUUGACUGUUUUUAAUAAAUUCAUUAUUGAUACGGAACAAUAUCAAGGCAGCUCCUCAGUGCAUCAUGCCAAAUUACAGGUGUCAUUUAGUCAACAUUCAUAUCUGUUAACCACCACAUUUACAAGACUUUCCUUUUAAAUAAAAGUUUGAUUGUAUAUAAUGUGACCAACUAGAGUAGACCAAUCCUGGUCUUCUCACAUCUAAUGUGUGCGCAUGCACCUGUUUCUAAAAACCCUAGUUUAGUUUUUGUAUACUGUAUACAUAUAUAAAUAUUAUUUUAAAGUGUGUGCUGCCAACACUAUAAAUGGAUUAAAUGCCCAUGUUUUAGACAAAUGUUUUAAUAUGCUAAUAUUUAAAGGGAUUUGUUAUUUACAGAAAACUCUGCCUAUUUUCUUUGUCCAUCAAAUUGUGAGACUUUAGUAUAACCAUGUCAGCAUUUUAACCAUUAUUUUACGUUGCAUUUUUAUAAUGUAUUUCUUUCUAUAUCAAAUCCUCCACGUGUAUUGUUUUCCUCCCUAGCAAACCAUCAAAUGGCUUAAUGUUUCCUAUGUACCUUCUAGUCAAUACUGUGUGUACGUUCAAAACCUGGAAAGUAGCUGUACUAACUGAGUACACAACCUGUCGUUGUUCAUCAGACUAUUUUGAAGUAAUUAUUUUUGUCAUUUUCUUCCCAUGUCUUUUUGUAACCCUCUGCCACCACCAGUGUGCAGUGUUGAUUGUAGAGAACACUACGCUUGCUCUAGGCUCCCCUCUACAUCUUACUGAAUCAACUAAAUAAACCUCUCUCUGAUCUCAGAAA